ACAACACAGCUACAGUAAAACAAUCCCUUCAAACUGAAGCUAAAUUAGCUGCGUUUCGUUUUACUUUUUUCAAUAGAUUUCUUUUUUUAAAUACCAUAAAAAUGAUGCAAGCUGAUUCAUGAUUUCGACUGGCUGAGAAACGCUGCCUGCCAGCAAGGUUUAUACAAAUCUCCGCCGUUGAAAACAACAUUUCAGUCUAAAAGAGAUGUCAGUGUCAGUGGAUUGCGCAGUCUGAUGGAACAGAGUAAAUAGGCAUUUGACGUCAUCGAUUUAGACAGCGGUAAAUUUGUGCAACAGACACGGGCUGGAAUGCGGUUUUCACCAAUCAGCAUUCAGGAUUAGACCCAGGCGUUGUAUAAUACGUCAAUAAAUCAGCACUUGUUUUUCAAAUUGCCGGAGUAUUUGAGAUAUAAUUGGGAUCAUGUAUGCUGUACUAAUGAUGAUUUAAAAAAUGAGUAAUUGAGUGCAAUGUACAAUAGGCGAAGUUCGCUAACUAGGAAUUUGUGAGUUCCCCACUAAGACGAUACAGAUGGUGAGAGUGGAGCUGACCCCUGAUUCACCUACAAACUUAAGUGAUCCUGCCGUGAGAGAGGCCAUUUUGCAGGAGAUAAAAGCCAAACUGAGAGCUCAGGGGAUGUCUGACACCGUUAAACUGAGUUGGAAAGUGCAGCCCGAUGAAGACAUUUUCCACAAGAAGGAGAUGGGAAAGAGUCCGAAAAAGAGGAGGAAGAGGUCAGAACUUUAAAUACACAUAGGCAAUAAUACAGUGUACAAACCAUUAAGAACACCUUCCCAAUAUUAAAAGGUACUAUGCACUAUAUUCAUUGAUUAAAAUGUUUUUUUUUAAUUACCUAUAGUAACUGCUAUAAUGCUUGAUAUUGAACAAUAAUGCUUCCUAUUGAAUUUCUUUAUAUAACCAUAAGAUAAUUUUUGCUUUAAUACAGAAAAAACAAGUUUUAUUGUAAAUGUGUGAUAUACAGUUCAAUGUUUAAA